rnacentral:rRNA from 1 species
AUUGAACGCUGGCGGCAGGCUUAACACAUGCAAGUCGAGCGGAGUGAUGGUGCUUGCACUAUCACUUAGCGGCGGACGGGUGAGUAAUGCUUAGGAAUCUGCCUAUUAGUGGGGGACAACAUCUCGAAAGGGAUGCUAAUACCGCAUACGUCCUACGGGAGAAAGCAGGGGAUCACUUGUGACCUUGCGCUAAUAGAUGAGCCUAAGUCGGAUUAGCUAGUUGGUGGGGUAAAGGCCUACCAAGGCGACGAUCUGUAGCGGGUCUGAGAGGAUGAUCCGCCACACUGGGACUGAGACACGGCCCAGACUCCUACGGGAGGCAGCAGUGGGGAAUAUUGGACAAUGGGGGGAACCCUGAUCCAGCCAUGCCGCGUGUGUGAAGAAGGCCUUAUGGUUGUAAAGCACUUUAAGCGAGGAGGAGGCUCUUUUGGUUAAUACCCAAGAUGAGUGGACGUUACUCGCAGAAUAAGCACCGGCUAACUCUGUGCCAGCCGCCGCGGUAAUAC